CAGUAGCCGCGGUAAUACGAAGGGGGCUAGCGUUGUUCGGAAUUACUGGGCGUAAAGGGCGCGUAGGCGGCCAUUCAAGUUAGAUGUGAAAGCCCUGGGCUCAACCUAGGAAUUGCAUUUGAUACUGUUUGGCUUGAGUUCGGGAGAGGUGAGUGGAAUUCCCAGUGUAGAGGUGAAAUUCGUAGAUAUUGGGAAGAACACCAGUGGCGAAGGCGGCUCACUGGACCGACACUGACGCUGAGGCGCGAAAGCGUGGGGAGCAAACAGGAUUAGAUACCCGUGUAGUCCCUGUCUCUUAUAA
rnacentral:rRNA from 1 species